CUCUCCCCCCUCUCCAGGAGGUAUCUCUUCAGGAUGUCAGGAAGGAGAUCAGGUUCUGUCAGAAGGUCCAGCUACCCAUCAUAGGAGUGGUGGAGAACAUGAGUGGGUUUGUCUGUCCCAAAUGCAAGAACACGUCUCAGAUCUUCCCCCACCACGGGAGGAGCAGAGAGGAUGUGUGAAGAGAUGAACCUUACUCUGCUAGGACGAGUCCCACUGGACCCCAGGAUAGGUAAGAGUUGUGAUGAAGGGAAGUCAUUCCUGACUGAAGUCCCAGACUCCCCUGCUGCUGCUGCUUACCACUCGAUAGUACAGAGUAUCCAGGCCUACUGCUUGUCCCAUGUGACACGGGAGGAGAGUGCUGGCUAGAAGCCAGUCUGGAGGCCGCCAUGUUGCUCUGGAUGCCAGGGACGGAUCACAAGUUCGAGGGUCCCUGCUGUCUGAUGACUGAAUGAAUCACAUGCUCUGGUUUAGAAACUGAUUUAGGAUCAGGACCCCCCCAUUCACAAUGUGUCUCAGAGUAGGACACCUGAUGUAAGGUUAGGACCCCCCCCCAUUCACAAUGUGUCUCAGAGUAAGACACCUGAUGUAA